GUGGGGAAUAUUGGUCAAUGGACGAAAGUCUGAACCAGCCAUGCCGCGUGAAGGAUGAAGGCCCUCUGGGUUGUAAACUUCUUUUAUCUGGGACGAAAAAAGGGUAUUCUUACUCACUUGACGGUACCAGAGGAAUAAGCACCGGCUAACUCCGUGCCAGCAGCCGCGGUAAUACGGAGGGUGCAAGCGUUAUCCGGAUUCACUAGGUUUAAAGGGUGCGUAGGUGGGUCUUUAAGUCAGUGGUGAAAUCUCCGAGCUUAACUCGGAAACUGCCAUUGAUACUAUUUACCUUGUAUGCCCUGGAGGUAAGCGGAAUAUGUCAUGUAGCGGUGAAAUGCUUAGAUAUGACAUAGAACACCAAUUGCGAAGGCAGCUUACUACGGGGUGAUUGACACUGAGGCACGAAAGCGUGGGGAGCAAACAGGAUUAGAAACCCCGGUAGUCC
rnacentral:rRNA from 1 species